UAGAAGCUUAAAGAGAGCGUGAAACCUAGAGAGAGUCCCAUUUUCCCUCCACCCAACCACCCACUGUCGGAGGGUUGUCGUAGUACCGCUGGAGUGCCGUCAGAGUGCCGACGUUCCUAGAGAGAGUGUCGCUUCCUCCCACCCACCCAUUUUCGUUGUCCACCGGAGUGCCGCCUGAGGAAGUAUUGUCCGUUCCGGUGACCAGCGUCGUUCAAAGCUUUGAUUGCAACGGCCACCGAAAAGGACGCGUUUUCGCCGUUCCGCAGUCGUAUCAACGUUUGUCGAGAGGAAAAAAGAGAGGUACAAGCAGGGAAAUCAAGCAUAUAAAGAUAGGCAGUGGCAGAAAGCCAUUGGAUUUUACACAUAAGCUAUCAAACUCUAUAGUGAUAAUGCAACAUACUAUAGUAACAAGGCUCAAGCGUAUCUAGAACAUGGAAGGUAGUGUUUUCUUCUGGCCAUUUUUUGAAAGUGUCAGGCAAAAUAUUGAUUUGUUUCCUCUGUUUAUCCAGUUAUC